AAAUUGAAGAGUUUGAUCAUGGCUCAGAUUGAACGCUGGCGGCAGGCCUAACACAUGCAAGUCGAACGGUAGCACAGGAGAGCUUGCUCUCUGGGUGACGAGUGGCGGACGGGUGAGUAAUGUCUGGGAAACUGCCCGAUGGAGGGGGAUAACUACUGGAAACGGUAGCUAAUACCGCAUAAUGUCGCAAGACCAAAGAGGGGGACCUUCGGGCCUCUUGCCAUCGGAUGUGCCCAGAUGGGAUUAGCUAGUAGGUGGGGUAACGGCUCACCUAGGCGACGAUCCCUAGCUGGUCUGAGAGGAUGACCAGCCACACUGGAACUGAGACACGGUCCAGACUCCUACGGGAGGCAGCAGUGGGGAAUAUUGCACAAUGGGCGCAAGCCUGAUGCAGCCAUGCCGCGUGUAUGAAGAAGGCCUUCGGGUUGUAAAGUACUUUCAGCGGGGAGGAAGGGGUUAAGGUUAAUAACCUUAGCCAUUGACGUUACCCGCAGAAGAAGCACCGGCUAACUCCGUGCCAGCAGCCGCGGUAAUACGGAGGGUGCAAGCGUUAAUCGGAAUUACUGGGCGUAAAGCGCACGCAGGCGGUCUGUCAAGUCGGAUGUGAAAUCCCCGGGCUCAACCUGGGAACUGCAUCCGAAACUGGCAGGCUAGAGUCCUUGUAGAGGGGGGUAGAAUUCCAGGUGUAGCGGUGAAAUGCGUAGAGAUCUGGAGGAAUACCGGUGGCGAAGGCGGCCCCCUGGACAAAGACUGACGCUCAGGUGCGAAAGCGUGGGGGAGCAAACAGGAUUAGAUACCCUGGUAGUCCACGCCGUAAACGAUGUCGACUUGGAGGUUGUUCCCUUGAGGAGUGGCUUCCGGAGCUAACGCGUUAAGUCGACCGCCUGGGGAGUACGGCCGCAAGGUUAAAACUCAAAUGAAUUGACGGGGGCCCGCACAAGCGGUGGAGCAUGUGGUUUAAAUUCGAUGCAACGCGAAGAACCUUACCUACUCUUGACAUCCACGGAAUUUAGCAGAGAUGCUUUAGUGCCUUCGGGAACCGUGAGACAGGUGCUGCAUGGCUGUCGUCAGCUCGUGUUGUGAAAUGUUGGGUUAAGUCCCGCAACGAGCGCAACCCUUAUCCUUUGUUGCCAGCGGUUCGGCCGGGAACUCAAAGGAGACUGCCAGUGAUAAACUGGAGGAAGGUGGGGGAUGACGUCAAGUCAUCAUGGCCCUUACGAGUAGGGCUACACACGUGCUACAAUGGCAUAUACAAAGAGAAGCGACCUCGCGAGAGCAAGCGGACCUCAUAAAGUAUGUCGUAGUCCGGAUCGGAGUCUGCAACUCGACUCCCGUGAAGUCGGAAUCGCUAGUAAUACGUGGAUCAGAAUGCCACGGUGAAUACGUUCCCGGGCCUUGUACACACCGCCCGUCACCCCAUGGGAGUGGGUUGCAAAAGAAGUAGGUAGCUUAACCUUCGGGAGGGCGCUUACCACUUUGUGAUUCAUGACUGGGGUGAAGUCGUAACAAGGUAACCGUAGGGGAACCUGCGGUUGGAUCACCUCCUUA
rnacentral:rRNA from 1 species